GUCUCCAUGGUUUAGUCGGACACCCGAACACUCGACUAAGGUGCGGGAGAACACGGGUUCGAGUCCUGCUGAAUGCA